AACGAACGCUGGCGGCAUGCCUAACACAUGCAAGUCGAACGAGACCUUCGGGUCUAGUGGCGCACGGGUGCGUAACGCGUGGGAACCUGCCCUUAGGUUCGGAAUAACUCCCCGAAAGGGGUGCUAAUACCGGAUAAUGUCUUCGGAUCAAAGAUUUAUCGCCUUUGGAUGGGCCCGCGUUGGAUUAGCUAGUUGGUAGGGUAAAAGCCUACCAAGGCGACGAUCCAUAGCUGGUCUGAGAGGAUGAUCAGCCACACUGGGACUGAGACACGGCCCAGACUCCUACGGGAGGCAGCAGUGGGGAAUAUUGGACAAUGGGCGAAGGCCUGAUCCAGCAAUGCCGCGUGAGUGAUGAAGGCCUUAGGGUUGUAAAGCUCUUUUACCCGGGAUGAUAAUGACAGUACCGGGAGAAUAAGCUCCGGCUAACUCCGUG
rnacentral:rRNA from 1 species